rnacentral:rRNA from 1 species
CCUACGGGGUGCAGCAGUGAGGAAUAUUGGUCAAUGGACGAGAGUCUGAACCAGCCAAGUAGCGUGAAGGAUGACUGCCCUAUGGGUUGUAAACUUCUUUUAUAUGGGAAUAAAAUGUUCCACGUGUGGGAUUUUGUAUGUACCAUAUGAAUAAGGAUCGGCUAACUCCGUGCCAGCAGCCGCGGUAAUACGGAGGAUCCGAGCGUUAUCCGGGUUUAUUGGGUUUAAAGGGAGCGUAGGUGGAUUGUUAAGUCAGUUGUGAAAGUUUGCGGCUCAACCGUAAAAUUGCAGUUGAAAAUGGGAGUCUUGAGUACAGUAGAGGUGGGCGGAAUUCGUGGUGUAGCGGUGAAAUGCUUAGAUAUCACGAAGAAAUCCGAUUGCGAAGGCAAUUCACUGGACUGCAACUGACACUGAGGCUCGAAAGUGUGGGUAUCAAACAGGAUUAGAUACCCGGGUAGUC